CAGUCGCCGCGGUAAUACGUAGGGUGCGAGCGCUAAUCGGAAUUACUGGGCGUAAAGCGUGCGCAGGCGGUUGUGUAAGACAGGUGUGAAAUCCCCGGGCUUAACCUGGGAACUGCGCUUGUGACUGCACAGCUAGAGUAUGGCAGAGGGGGGUGGAAUUCCGCGUGUAGCAGUGAAAUGCGUAGAGAUGUGGAGGAACACCGAUGGCGAAGGCAGCCCCCUGGGCCAAUACUGACGCUCAUGCACGAAAGCGUGGGGAGCAAACAGGAUUAGAUACCCCCGUAGUCCCUGUCUCUUAUAC
rnacentral:rRNA from 1 species